AACUAAACAGCUAGCCCCAACAUUUAAAAACAACAUACAACUAUUUAUACCCCCUAACACACUAUUUUAUAUAAUCAAACCAUUUUACCCCCUAAGUACGGGCGACGGAAAAGGACCCCCGGGAGCGAUAGAAAAAGUACCGCAAGGGAAUGCUGAAAGAGCAAGUGAAAAAACCCAGUAAAGUAAAAAAAAGCAGAGACUAAAUCUCGUACCUUUUGCAUCAUGACUUAGCCAGAAACACCCAAGCAAAGAGAACUCUAGUUUGUAACCCCGAAACUAAGUGAGCUACUCCAAGACAGCUUAUUAAUAGAGCCAACCCGUCUCUGUCGCAAAAGAGUGGGAAGAGCUUCGAGUAGAGGUGACAAACCUAUCGAACUUAGUUAUAGCUGGUUGUCUAGGAACUGAAUAAAAGUUCAGCCUCUCAGCUUCUUUUCUCCAACAAACCUCUUGUAUAACCUGAGCCCUAAGAAACUAAGAGAGUUAGUUAAAGGGGGCACAGCCCCUUUAAAACAAGACACAACUUUUCAAGACGGGUAAAGAUCACACCUACUAAGGCAAUAUGUUCUAGUGGGCUUAAAAGCAGCCACCUAAUAGAAAGCGUUACAGCUCCAACAUCCAAAACAGCCUUUAAUACAGACAAUUCUUUCUAACCCCCCUAAUUUUACUAGACCGCCCCAUGCAACCAUGGGGACGACUAUGCUAACAUGAGUAAUAAGAAGGCUACGACCUUCUCCUAGCACAAGUGUACAUCGGAACGAACCCUCGCCGAAUAUUACCGGCCCCAAUCAAAGCGGGCACUGGAAAAAAAACAAAUAACAAGAAAAAUUUCCAACAUACUACCGUUAACCCUACACUGGCAUGCCUACAAGGAAAGACUAAAAGAAAAAGAAGGAACUCGGCAAACACAAGCCUCGCCUGUUUACCAAAAACACCGCCUCUUGCAAAACUAAUGAAUAAGAGGUCCUGCCUGCCCUGUGACAAUAGUUUAACGGCCGCGGUAUUCUGACCGUGCAAAGGUAGCGCAAUCACUUGUCUUUUAAAUGAAGACCUGUAUGAAUGGCAUAACGAGGGCUUAACUGUCUCCUUUUUCUGGUCAACGAAAUUGAUCUCUCCGUGCAGAAGCGGGGGUAAAACCAUAAGACGAGAAGACCCUAUGGAGCUUUAGACACUAAAGUAGACCUUGUCAAACCCCUUAGAAUAAAAAAUUGAACAAAAAGGCCCCUACCCUAAUGUCUUUGGUUGGGGCGACCGCGGGGAAACAAAAAACCCCCAUGUGGAGAAAGAGAACUUCCCUCACAAACCAGAGCCACAGCUCUAAUUAACAGAACAUCUGACCUUAAGAUCCGGCAAUGCCGAUCAACGGACCGAGUUACCCUAGGGAUAACAGCGCAAUCCCCUUUUAGAGCCCAUAUCGACCAGGGGGUUUACGACCUCGAUGUUGGAUCAGGACAUCCUAAUGGUGCAGCCGCUAUUAAGGGUUCGUUUGUUCAACGAUUAAAGUCCU
rnacentral:rRNA from 1 species